UACGGGGGGGGCAAGCGUUGUUCGGAAUUACUGGGCGUAAAGGGCUCGUAGGUGGCCAACUAAGUCAGACGUGAAAUCCCUCGGCUUAACCGGGGAACUGCGUCUGAUACUGGAUGGCUGGAGUUUGGGAGAGGGAUGCGGAAUUCCAGGUGUAGCGGUGAAAUGCGUAGAUAUCUGGAGGAACACCGGUGGCGAAGGCGGCAUCCUGGACCGGCAUUGACGCUGAGGAGCGAAAGCUAGGGGAGCAAACGGG
rnacentral:rRNA from 1 species